rnacentral:rRNA from 1 species
AACGAACGCUGGCGGCAUGCCUAACACAUGCAAGUCGAACGAGACCUUCGGGCUUAGUGGCGCACGGGUGGGUAACGCGUGGGAACCUGCCUUUAGGUUUGGAAUAACUCCCCGAAAGGGGUGCUAAUACCGGAUAAUGUCCUCCGACCAAAGAUUUAUCGCAUUUGGAUGGGCGUGCGUUGGAUUAGCUAGUUAUUAGGGUAAAAGCCUCCCAAGGGGAGGUUCCAUAGCUGGGCAGUGAGGAAGAGCAGCCACACUGGGACUGAGACACGACCCAGACUCCUGCGGGAGGCGGCAGUGGGGGAUAUAGGACAGUGGGCGAAGGGCUGAUCCAGCUAUGCCGGGUGAGUGAUGAAGGCCUUGGGGUAGUAAAGCUCUUUUACCCGGGAUGAUAAUGACGGUACCGGGAGAAUAAGCUCCGGCUAACUCCGUG